GGUUCAAUGGUCUAAUGGUUAUGAUUUCUGUCUCACAUGGUUGGGCGCACAGAAGGUUCCCGGUUCGAUCCCGGGUUGAACCA
rnacentral:tRNA from 1 species